ACCACCACUGAACCUGACUGGUAUUGUUGGUUGGGGCAACACAGCAGUGAACUGACAGUAAGCUCCAGCUUUUAGGAAACAGGGCUAUCCUACAUAUGAAUAAUUCUGUGUUGAAAACGCAGGAAGAGCC
ensembl:snoRNA